CCUACGGGAGGCAGCAGUGGGGAAUAUUGGGCAAUGGGCGCAAGCCUGACCCAGCAACGCCGCGUGAAGGAAGAAGGCUUUCGGGUUGUAAACUUCUUUUCUCAGGGACGAAGCAAGUGACGGUACCUGAGGAAUAAGCCACGGGUAACUACGUGCCAGCAGCCGCGGCAAUACGUAGGCAGCAAGCGUUAUCCGGAUUUACUGGGUGUAAAGGGCGUGUAGGCGGGAAAGCAAGUCAGAUGUUAAAACCAUGGGCUCACACUGUGGCCUGCAUUUGAAACUGUUUUUCUUGAGUACUGGGGAGGCAGGCGGAAUUACUAGUGUAGCGGUGAAAUGCGUAGAUAUAAGGAAGAACACCGGUGGCGAAGGCGGUCUACUGGACAGCAACUGACGCUGAGGCGCGAGAGCGUGGGGAGCGAACAGGAUUAGAUACCCGAGUAGUC
rnacentral:rRNA from 1 species